CAGAAGCCCGCCACGAAGAGAUUGAGGGCAUCCAUUUUAUCCAUUUUGCUCUCUGCCUCGAAGACGGGACGGGCCCCGCAGGACACAAGCGCCAGGCAGUCCACACAGUUCCAUAGGAAACAAAGUCUGUGCCAGACGUGCAUCAGGAUCGGGGGCAGCUGGUGUUCCAGUGCUUCUUGCAGUUUCUGUAUCUCGUGGCAGAGGAGCCGGAGACGCUGGAUGCGUCGCAGCUUUACGUCCAGGAUGCGACUGUGGAAGAACAGACUAGAUAGCCCAACUAGACGACUGCGUUCCUGACUGAUGUCGAAAGCUCGGGAGCACAGCAUGGCAGUUCGUGACUCGAAGAGGUCAGAUUUAUCCAGCGCCUGAGGAGGAACUGCUUUUACUACAAACAGUGGUCGGACGAAUCUUUACAAACCAGAUUCCUGAGCUGGCGGUUCCGCUCCUCAAGAAAUUGGGUGCGCUUCUGGACAUCCGCCAGCUGCUGGGACAUCCCAGUCGGUACAGUAUUCUGAUGAUGUAGGUCGACACCAUGCAGCGAGGAUAAAUCACUCAGCGGAAGCUAUUCGCCGACAAAGUG
ensembl:ncRNA asRNA:CR44381 antisense RNA:CR44381